CCCUUUUCGGCGAGCCUCAGACUGAGGCACAAGACCACCUUUGUUGGUUUUCAGGUUUCUCCCACAAAUAGAGAAGCCGUACAGAUUCCCAGUGUUUGCCGGUGCGUGUGUAUGUGUACCACAGGUGCCCCUGCUGUCCCAGAAGCCAGAAGAGGGCAUCAGUUUCUCUGAAACCGGAGUUACAGGUAUGUGAAGCUACCAGCCCUUGCCAGAGAAGCCUCUCCUCACAGCCUAUGGAGACCUUCAUAGAAAACCACAACUGGACACAAUGCAGGACUCAAAGGCUCCUCAAGCCCAGCCCCAAUGUGUACAUCACUCGGAGCACACCAUGGAGGAAGAGAUGAAAACUGCAAGAGCCAGAAUCCCAAGAAGCCUGUUGUGGAAAAGUCUCUCAUAGAAACAGCUUCAUAAAGAAGACCAGAGCCCAGAAGCAUGGUGGUAUCAGUGGAUAUGUUAACAUAGAAGGAGGGACUUUUCUAGGGGUCCCACCCCUACACAGGCAACUAGCAACUGGUGGGGGAAGGAGACUCAGCCUCUCCCAGGCAUGAGUUCCCUUAUUGGCUAAUCCCAAAAACUUGAGGAGAAAGACACUGACGCAAAUUAUGGCCAAAUUAAAGCAAGCUAUAUUUGUGUGUGUAA